rnacentral:rRNA from 2 species
GUGCUAAUCUGCGAUAAGCGCCGGUAAGGUGAUAUGAACCGUUAUAACCGGCGAUACCCGAAUGGGGAAACCCAGUGUGACUCGUCACACUAUCAUUAACUGAAUCCAUAGGUUAAUGAGGCGAACCGGGGGAACUGAAACAUCUAAGUACCCCGAGGAAAAGAAAUCAACCGAGAUUCCCCCAGUAGCGGCGAGCGAACGGGGAGGAGCCCAGAGCCUGAAUCAGCAUGUGUGUUAGUGGAAGCGUCUGGAAAGGCGCGCGAUACAGGGUGACAGCCCCGUACACAAAAGCGCAUGUGCUGUGAGCUCGAUGAGUAGGGCGGGACACGUGGUAUCCUGUCUGAAUAUGGGGGGACCAUCCUCCAAGGCUAAAUACUCCUGACUGACCGAUAGUGAACCAGUACCGUGAGGGAAAGGCGAAAAGAACCCCGGCGAGGGGAGUGAAAAAGAACCUGAAACCGU